rnacentral:rRNA from 1 species
UAGCGAAGGGGGCUAGCGUUGCUCGGAAUCACUGGGCGUAAAGCGCACGUAGGCGGCUUCUUAAGUCAGGGGGUGAAAUCCUGGAGCUCAACUCCAGAACUGCCUUUGAUACUGGGAGCUUGAGUCCGGAAGAGGUGAGUGGAACUCCGAGUGUAGAGGUGAAAUUCGUAGAUAUUGGAAGAAAGCACCAGUGGCGAAGGACGGGCUC